UACGUAGGAGUCAAGCGUUGUCCGGAAUUACUGGGCGUAAAGCGCGUGUAGGUGGUGGGACAAGUCUGCUGUGAAAGCGCCUGGCUUAACCGGGCGAGGUCGGCGGAAACUGCCUCACUGGAGGGCAGUAGAGGGGGGUGGAAUUCCCGGUGCAGUGGUGAAAUGCGUAGAGAUCGGGAGGAACACCUGUGGCGAAGGCGGCCCCCUGGGCCGGCCCUGACACUGAGACGCGAAGGCGUGGGGAGCGAACGGG
rnacentral:rRNA from 1 species